CACGUGACAUCCUGUCUGAAUAUGGGGGGACCAUCCUCCAAGGCUAAAUACUCCUGACUGACCGAUAGUGAACCAGUACCGUGAGGGAAAGGCGAAAAGAACCCCUGUGAGGGGAGUGAAAUAGAACCUGAAACCGUGUACGUACAAGCAGUGGGAGCCCUUCGGGGUGACUGCGUACCUUUUGUAUAAUGGGUCAGCGACUUACAUUUUGUAGCGAGGUUAACCGUAUAGGGGAGCCGUAGGGAAACCGAGUCUUAACUGGGCGUCUAGUUGCAAGGUGUAGACCCGAAACCGGGUGAUCUAGCCAUGGGCAGGUUGAAGGUUGAGUAACAUCAACUGGAGGACCGAACCCACUAACGUUGCAAAGUUAGGGGAUGACCUGUGGCUGGGGGUGAAAGGCCAAUCAAACUCGGAGAUAGCUGGUUCUCCCCGAAAGCUAUUUAGGUAGCGCCUCGGACGAAUACUACUGGGGGUAGAGCACUGUUUGGGCUAGGGGGUCAUCCCGACUUACCAACCCCAUGCAAACUCCGAAUACCAGUAAGUAAUAUCCGGGAGACACACGGCGGGUGCUAACGUCCGUCGUGAAGAGGGAAACAACCCAGACCGCCGGCUAAGGUCCCAAAGUUCUGGUUAAGUGGGAAACGAUGUGGGAAGGCUCAGACAGCUAGGAUGUUGGCUUAGAAGCAGCCAUCAUUUAAAGAAAGCGUAAUAGCUCACUAGUCGAGUCGGCCUGCGCGGAAGAUGUAACGGGGCUCAAACCAG
rnacentral:rRNA from 1 species